GUGGUUUUAAGAGGUGCUGCUAUAAUGAAAAAUCACAGGCUCACCCAAGAACUACCGUGGAAUCAGAACCUCUAGGGAUAUGGCCCUAGAAUCUGAAUUUUAAGCCAGUUCCUGAGGUGCAAUUCAGUUUGAGAACUACAGUCUUAAGGCAAAACCUUUCUAUCAUACCAGAGCUUCCAAUUGUCAGGCCCUUUGAAUCCACCCUUUGUGUCAAACCUUAGAUAAUUCAAGAGACAUAACAAACGUGAUCAUGUUACAUGCUUCCUCACAGAUUUCAGUGUCUCCCAUUUCUUCUAUUAGUUUAAAAAACAUAGUCCACCAUCACAGGGCCCUGUUUAAGCCAGCUCCUCCUCUGUGGCUCUGCCUUUGUGGUCAACCUGUGCAAAACUUUGAGGCUGUGACAUCACUUAGUCAGUCUCCAACAUUUGGAACAAGAGAACUUUUUCUAACAAUUUGAUCCCAAUUCCUAUUUUAAGCUUGAGCAUUAUGAAGGCUGUAUCUGUAUAUAAUAUUGAACACUUCAAAACAAUUUUAGAUCUUAAUUAUUUUGUUAUUAAAAUGUUGGGGGUGUUUAAGUUGACAUUGAGUCAGAUGUAGGAACUGAUAUACAGUGAAGUUAAAUCCUUUAGGGUAAACUCAUUCAGUGGUAGAGGCUGAACUACAGAGCCUAGGCAUUCUGACAUUCCACCACUGUGCUUAUCAGCUUGCUCCUUGAGCAAACCUUUUCCUGCCUUUAUGAGAAUAUGCCCAUUUUAUGGGCUCUGUAUCUAUGAGAUAUUUUACCUAUGCUUAUGUACACAUGGUGUUUAUCUUUCAAAGCUGGACUAUGGAAAAGCCUAAUUUUACAAACAUGUUAGUAAAAGAUUAUGUAAUCUGAGGUGAUUACGUUUAAAAUGGCAAUGAUAAUGAUGUUAAUUCCAGUCCUGUGAGGUACUGUUUCUGAUCUGGAAAGAGCAGUUUUCUUUUUUAACAGCUUAUUUUGUAUUUUCAUAAUCCAUUUUAAGGUUUGGUAUUAAUAUAGACAUGAGAAAUAAAAUAUAACUGUUGCCAUGCCAAAUGUAUAUCAAAAAGUUGCUAAUAGCCAUGACUGCUAUUUGGUUAACUGUAUUUCACUAUUUAAAUAAAAUGAUGGAAAAUGGUGUGUCUAGGAUCUCAUUCAUAAUAAUGAAAGACAAUAGAAACUAUUAGCAUAGGUAUGAUGCUAAUGAAUGGUAAAUUUUCAAUAGAGAUCCAUCGACCAGAUUGUUUGAAAAAUGUUUCCUGUGGGUACGAAAAAUGCACACAAACAAACACAUGCAUCAAAAUGUCCAUAAUUAAGUUUUUAGGGAAAAAUAACAAUAUAUGUUGGUUAAGGACUUUCACUUAAAUGGCAUUAUAGAUCUUUCAGAAAUGAGAGUUGAUUUAUACUUCAGUAUUUUGGUUCCCAAAGGUUGGGACAGUGGGUGGUAGAGGAGAAGUAGAGUAAAUGGAAGGUAUACAUGUAUGUGUGUGCAUAUGGGCAACUUUAAGCACCUUGAAUUUAAUGAACAAAAAAUGUCAUUAUUCUGUGUUUAUAUAUUUUUGUGUGAAACAAGUACCUUUCUCUAUCACUGGAGUUUACAUGGAUUUUCUCAUGAUAUCUUUUGAGAAUCUCUUUAAACACUAAAAUACAUUUUUCCAAAUGAAAACUCCCAUAAUUCUGCUUUAUUAAUAUCUGAAUGAAUAUUUCCAUUGAUUUGUCCAGAAGAAGGAACUGAGUACUGUUUAGAGAGCAAUCUUUUUCAUGAUAAUUGGCAGCAAUGUUUCCCUGCUAUCAGAAAGAAAACUAUAGAAAUACGAAACUUUAGAUAAACAUGGAGAUAAAAAUAAUAUUAUGGAGUCCAACUGGUAUCUUUGAGGUGAGGACAGGCUGAGAUGGACUCCUUGGCUUCCUUCUGUCCAAAAAUUUCCUGUUUCCCUAUUUCCUACGGUUACCACCAUGGAACAUGUUAAAAUCUCAGUAGGGACUCUGUUUCAACUUUUCCUGUCAAAACACAGUGAAAAAGCUUAAUGGAAAAAAAUGUCCUUCCUAUCUCCAUGCCAGGCACAGUGUAAGAUCCACAAACUUAAAAGCCAGGAAAAUAUUCUUUUAUGUGCCCCAAAGCUGGGCAAGUGACCUAGUACUACAAAAAUUCCCAAAUAGGCAUGUGACCUGACUAAUGUGUGCUGUGAGAUGAGUCAAGAAAAAUGGAACCAUCUGUACUUUUAUUGGACAGUCAAAUAAUUUCUUUCUGUCCACCCAAAAACAUAAUUUCUAUGUUAAGAGUGAUACAAGGAGACUUUUAGAAAGUCUAAUUUUUAAAAUCAGAGAUAUUAAAAUAUAUGAAAAGUAUAACCUAUUAAACACUGGUGGAGAUAAGCAAAUAGGCUUAUGAAAUCAUUAUUGCUUUAAAAAUUUGUUACCUACUCAUUGUGUACUAAGGCUUCUCUACGACAUACAGAAGAGGCCGGUGCGGUGGCUCACGCCUGUAAUCCCAGCAUUUCGAGAGGCUGAGGCAGGUGGAUCAUGAGGUCAGGAGUUCAAGACCAGCCUGGCCAAGAUGGGGAAACCCCGUCUCUACUGAAAAUACAAAAAAAAAAAAAAUUAGCUGGGCAUGGUGGUGGGCACCUGUAAUCCCAGCUACUCUGGAGGCUGAGGCAGAGAACUGCUUGAACCUUGGAGGCGGAGGUUGCAGCAAGCCAAGAUUGCCCCACUGCACUCCAGCCUGGGUGACAGAGCAAGACUGUAAAAAAAAAAAAAAAGAAAAGAAAAAAAGACAUACAGAAGGAAAUCAGGGAAAAUGGGAAAAUGAAGGGAAUUAACAAAUUGCAAUAAUCUUUAAGAAGUAGAGUAUGAACAAUUUUCCUUUUCUAGGAUGAAAGCUACCAACAACUGAACUCUUAGAGUGAGUGAUGGCAGAAAAAAAUAGCAAUCAAGAAUAGGGGCAUGUUAGUUUUUAGACAUGUUUACAAAACUCUGCCUUUUAUUUCUUAAACCCAUAGGUCAACCACCCAUCAUACCUACAUUACCCCAUAUGACAAGUGGAUUUGUUGUAUGUUUCAAGUUUUUAAUCUUGGUGGGAAGGGGGAGGGCAGAGAAGUAUUUAUUGGUAAAAUAUCAUAAUAAAGGUUGAGCCUGUCAAUGAUUGUACCUAACAAUAAUAAAUAUGUGUAGGAAGUAAGAACGGCAAAAAUGAAGCCGGGUAGGAUACUGUGGAUAUGGUGACAGACAAGUAUCUAUACGAAAUCCUGAGAUAUUUGUCCUCCAUUUCAUAAAUUAAAGUGCCCCCUCUUUUGCUUUACAGAUAAGGAAACUGAGGUGCAUUAUAAUAGCAACAGCAGCUGAUGUGUAGUAGAUCCAUACCACAAGCCAGACGAGGCACAAGUCAACCAGAGGUUAUGCAAUUAGCUUGGAGUCAAAGAGAAAGCAAGGAGUAGAGCUGAGAAGGAAACCCCAGUGUGAACUUGAUUUUUAUUCAAUCAAACUGUUAAGAUAUGCUAAAUCCUCGUCCAUGGUUACUCUCCUUUGGAAGAG
rnacentral:lncRNA from 1 species